GCCAGCAUGGCAUAGUGAUUUGAACACUAGACUAUGACUCUGGAGAUCAGGGUUCAAUUCCCCGCCUGAGCA